GAGAGAAGAGAAGAGUACUACAAGGGAAAGCAACCUCACAACUAGAGAGAGAAAUGCGAGUAGAACAGAGCAGAGAAUGUAGUUGUAGUAAAUGCCCCUGAGUCUUCCCACAAUUACGAAUUAUUUUCCGUUUUGCCCACUUUAACCUUUGUGGUUAAACAACACUCCAGUCUCUUUCAAUGGCUGUUGACGGUUGUGACGCUGCAAUAGUUGGGUUCAGUUGCG
rnacentral:misc_RNA from 1 species